rnacentral:rRNA from 1 species
GACGAACGCUGGCGGCGCGCCUAACACAUGCAAGUCGAACGAGCGAGAGAGAGCUUGCUUUCUCAAGCGAGUGGCGAACGGGUGAGUAACGCGUGAGGAACCUGCCUCAAAGAGGGGGACAACAGUUGGAAACGACUGCUAAUACCGCAUAAGCCCACGACCCGGCAUCGGGUAGAGGGAAAAGGAGCAAUCCGCUUUGAGAUGGCCUCGCGUCCGAUUAGCUAGUUGGUGAGGUAACGGCCCACCAAGGCGACGAUCGGUAGCCGGACUGAGAGGUUGAACGGCCACAGUGGGACUGAGACACGGCCCAGACUCCUACGGGAGGCAGCAGUGGGGAAUAUUGCACAAUGGGGGAAACCCUGAUGCAGCGACGCCGCGUGGAGGAAGAAGGUCUUCGGAUUGUAAACUCCUGUUGUUGAGGAAGAUAAUGACGGUACUCAACAAGGAAGUGACGGCUAACUACGUG